rnacentral:rRNA from 1 species
AUACGGAUGGUGCGAGCGUUGUUCGGAAUUACUGGGCGUAAAGGGCGCGUAGGCGGCGAUGUAAGUCAAAUGUGAAAGUCCUCGGCUUAACCGGGGAAGUGCAUCUGAAACUGCAUUGCUUGAGUAUGGGAGAGGAAAGUGGAAUUCCCGGUGUAGAGGUGAAAUUCGUAGAGAUCGGGAGGAAUACCGGUGGCGAAGGCGACUUUCUGGACCAAUACUGACGCUGAGGCGCGAAAGCGUGGGGAGCAAACAGGAUUAGAUACCCCAGUAGUCC